CCUUCGAUAGCUCAGUUGGUAGAGCGGUGGACUGUAGAAGCAAAGCGCACCCUCCAGUGCGAGAGUAAUAGUAAUCCAUAGGUCACUGGUUCAAAUCCGGUUCGAAGGA
rnacentral:tRNA from 1 species